AAUUUGGCUAUGUUACAGAUAGAAUAGUGAAUGAUGAAUGUUUUUUUUUUUUAUCAUAUGAGUGCUUUAACAAACAUGAGUCUCACAUUUCUAUAUUUAGACUUUCCAGAUUGCUGAACUCUUUACUUCCAUUGUAAAUACUAAAUUGCCUACGUAAUUAUUACUGUAGCUGCAAUUUGUGCUUUUUUAUUUAAAAACAAAAAAAAAAACUACUGAGGGACAGUUCUGUUAUAAUGUUUAAAAUGUUUUUUCUGUUAUAAUAAACAUUCUGCCACAAACUCUGUCAAUAGAGCUUAACUUUUGUUUAACUCAGAACAUUCCUUUAAUUUACAUUUUCAUUAAUGCUAAUUCAUCCUUUCCAGACCUCACAGACUGACAAAUUGUGACCAACUGCAAAUCCCUCAGAAAACCCACAAACAAGUCCAAUGUCAUAGCAGAGUGCCUCUUUUCUUUUUACUCAUCCACAAUCCUCCCCUCUCCUUUGCACUUCCAUUGUAAGCUUCCAUCAACAUGGCGCAGAGAACUAAUGCUGAUACUGUGCUCGCGCCCUCUGCUGGGAGCGUUCGGAACGGCGGCCAAUGUCACCAUCAAGGGUUAUGUCAUACUGGCCAUGGCAUUGUCCUUCACCCAGAGCUGUGAGACCUCAACUGUUGUAUUACAUCGAUGUUUACAGCUAAAAUACACGCAUUACAUUAAUAUAUGCUAUAUUAAGAA